UCUUACAGUUACCAGUGGAGCAGAACUUUGAAUUGUACAAUAUCCCCAGGACAUCAAUGUGUCUCUUAAUUCAACUGUUUUGAUACUGUGUGACUUUGACUACCCGGAUAAAACCGUAAUAGAGGUGUACAGGAGGAAAGACUCUACCUGUAAUCAGCUGGUGCUCCAGCCAACCGCAAGUACCUCUGAUGUUCAAAAGUCACAGGUACAAAUUAAAACAGAGCAGUCCAAAAACCUUUCAAUCUUACGACUGAACAACGUUCAGCGGAACGACGCUGGCAUGUCUUUCUGUGAUGUAAGGCUAAUUUUACCACUACCAGUAAGGCACAAAUGUGGAAGUGGCAGCACGCUGACAGUACAUGAGUCCAAAUGCAAUGGCAAUAACCGGCAUGCUAAAACAUGGUGGGUGUGGUUCUUUCUUCUUUGAUACAGCAUCUGUUCCUCUAUUAUCAUCAUAGCUUUAUCCGUAAGUAAUCAUUCAGAAAUAAGUAUUACUAAACUAAAUAUGCUCCUGGGGUAUUUCUGAUGAAAAGGGAUGGGUG
ensembl:lncRNA